AUGUUAGCACCCACGGUACAGGAUUAUGUCGACGCCAAAUAUUUCGUCCUUGUACAAGACGUCGCAAGAAUUCCCUAUUUUAACUGGGGAUGUUUCACACUUAACGAUCUGUUGACAUCCAUCAAUACUUUUAACUAUGUGGACCAAGUGAAUCUACAAGGAAAUCUAGCUUUGCUCCAAGUUAUCACGAAGAUCGGUGAUCUGGAGCCAACCAACAUUACAAAUGACCAGCAUACCAACAAAGAUACACAUGCGCAUGAAGAUGCUAGCUAUCGACCACAACCACGAGGUCAAACUAUGAGUAGCCAACAAAUGGACAUGAUACUUCAAACCCAGAAUGAUCUAUUUGCAGAACAAGAGAAAAAGUUGGUCAAACAAGUAGUAGAAGUAGAGCACAAAUUAGAUAAAAGAAUAAUCUCCGUGACCAAGGACGUGAUAAACAUAAGGGGUAAAAUUGCCACUCAAGCUAGGUUGUCCAAGCUGGAGGACGAAGUUGGAGACCUCAAAAGGGAAGUUGGAGACCUCAAAAGGGAACUCCAGGAAUUAAGAUCCCUAGGUGAAACAAACAAACAAUCAACGAAGAGGAAUGCAUACGUACAGGAACAAGAGCAACCAAGCAAUGACAAGUUUUCAUCAACUCCUGUGUUUGACGCAUGGAAAGAACGGACUUCUGCUGGUACACCUAGUGCAAAACCUGUGGUGCAAAACAAGGAGUUGGACCAAGACAUCCCACCACGGAAGCCUGUAUUCAACAAUGCUUACAUAUUGACAGAUGAAGACUAUGAGGCUGAACUUUUCAUCCGAGGGAGUCACGACCUUGUUGAGCUAGUUCACAUCGAAGACAUUGUGCUAACAGUUCAUCAACUCAAUCCAAAUGUUAUUAAUGCAUAUGCACACAUUAGCAAUGUUGCAACUGAUGCUACAUCAUUCAUUUCCACCAUAGAAAGCAGAAGAUUGCUAGGCGAAUUUGGGGGUAUUCCAAUGGGAUGCAAAAGCCCACAUGUUGCUAAUGUAGCAACGAAAUUUGUAGGACGCAAAAUGGUACGUGUCCCAAUGAAUAUGCACAACAUGCACUGGUUAUUACUCAUGUUUAAUUUAGAUAAAGAAGAGAUCCAGGUCCUAAACUCCAUCCAAGCAUAUCGUGACAUUGCGAAGAAAACUCCACUGGUGGAGUCCAUUCAGGCGUGUAUCAACGAAGCGGUCGAGGAUGGCUUGGUAACACCGCCUAAACCCAUCAAUAUUACCCAGUGGAAAACCACUUGCUAUACUAACAUACCACAACAGACGGAUGGGUACGUAUAG
rnacentral:rRNA from 1 species